rnacentral:rRNA from 1 species
GAUGAACGCUAGCGGCAGGCCUAAUACAUGCAAGUCGAACGGUAACAGGUGUAGCAAUACAUGCUGACGAGUGGGCAGACGGGUGAGGAACACGUACACAACUUCCCUCUUACCGGGGGCACAACUCAGAGAAAUCUGGGCUAAUUCCCCGUAAUAUCACGAUGUGGCAUCACAUUGAGAUUAAAACUCCGGUGGUAAGCGAUGGGUGUGCGUCUGAUUAGCUAGUUGGUGAGGUAACGGCUCACCAAGGCAACGAUCAGUAACUGGUGUGAGAGCACGACCAGUCACACGGGCACUGAGAUAC